AUGAUGCUCCGUUCCAUCUCCGAAGUUUGAAAUAAAAGAGGAAGAGCGUGUUUUUGGCGCCUUGUAAAUUAGCUCAGACUCCUUCUCUGCAGUUCUUGAAUCCAUUCUUUCACUCUCUUCCCAUGGCUGCUCCAUCCGAAUCAUCUCUCAUUUCGAAGCUUCAGUCCUCCGAUUCCUCCGGCAUCCACGCCCUAGUCUCCGAUUACCUGUCCCCUAGCAUAUCUCAAAGCGACAAAGAAAUCCAAACCCGACCCAACCCUAAUUCGCUCCCUCGCCAAGCGCUUUCUCUCCUUCCUCAACUCUUCUCUAUCCAUCCUCCCCAAACGCCUCCAGGAGCUUUCCAAGUCCAACGACGCCGUUUUGCUACUCGAACUGCUCCGCGUUUACAGGCUCUGCCUCGAUUGCUUGGACAUCGUCGCUUCUCAGUUGGCUUCCAAGCCAUUCUCCGUCGAAUUCCAGAGACUUCGCUUCAUGCACUGUCUCGAGUCCUGCGCACUCUUCGCCGAAGCCGAAGUCGAGGGUUUGGGAGUUCUUGAGAGGCUUCGACAGCCGAAGAGGAAGGGCAAGCUUCUCCCUGAAAUAGACAAGGGCGGCGGAGGCAGUAAAGACUUAUGUUCGUUGAUUGUUGACAUUGCCGUGAGCCUCGUGAGGUGUGCAUCCGCGGGUUUGGCUAAAGAAGAUGGCGAUUUCAAGAAGGUGCUUCAGUUGGUGGAGGAAGUAACCCCUUGACUCAAGCUUGGGUUCUGGAUGCAACUCCCAGAAAAGUUCGAGCGGGUGGAGAUGGAGAAGAUCAUCCAGCAGAACUUAUGUCCUUUCUAAUUAUAUUGCCCAGGGAGAAUUAUAUCAUUUUUGCUUUACUGGAGUAGAAGGUCAAGUUUUAUGAGUUCGUAAGGUAAAUUAUUUUUUUCUUAUGUGAGAACUAUGUAGUUUUUGUCAUGAACUAUCAUUCUUAUUUAUUUGUAUAUUUCUUUGUCUUACAAAAAUUGUAAUUUGAGAUGUAGUUUCGCUUGUUGUUAUCAACAUCGUGUUGAAUUUGAAAUUGCGUUUAGUUGCAGAUUCGAGAUGGGGAGGACUUCAAUUCAAGAAACAUGAGUUGAAUUUUCAAUAAUAAGAUGUUUAAUUUAACUUUUGAUCCAACUUUUUAUGUCCUUUGUUCAAUAUUAUAAUUUUUUUUUUCUGAACUCUUUCUCUAGGCAUUAUUCUAGCUAACAAAACAUGAACAAUGGUUUGUGAUUAGCAUUUUUCAAGGAUGUGGUGUGCGAGGAUUUGUAGAUCUUCUGAAUAGUGGUCGAAGGAAAGGAAUUGUAAGAUCCAGAAUUACAUGCUGACUUAGGUUGGAGAAGGGGAGGAUUUGUAGAUCCAAGCAAUGGAAGUUGGAUUUUCAAAAAUGAGGCAUUAUUCUGGUCAAGAAAACAUUAGAAGUGGGUUGUGAUUAGCAUUUUUCAAGGAUCUGUAGGAGAUCUUCCGAACUGUGGUCGAAGGAAAUGAAUUGUGAUUAAACCAUGUUGCAAUAAAUUUGAAGAUCUUUGCAAAAAAGUUUUCACACUUCAGGUUAGAAUGGUGAAAGUUGAAUUCAUGGACUCUGAACUUCCUUGGAUUCUGCAUUUUGUUUCCUAAUUCUUGACACAAGAAAUUUUGGUCUUUAUUGUGAGUUUAUUUUAUUUUCAUUGUGGAAUUGUUCCAGUUCAUUAUUACUGAAAAUUAAUUGAACUGAUAAGGUCAGUGAAGAAUAAGAUACUUGCAGAAGUGAGAAUCGUAACCUAGUGUUUGGCUCCACCAUUGAAUGUUAAUAAUUAAUAUUUUACUAAUUUUUUGGUUGAAGAUCAUUCUUAAGGUAUAAUGUUAUAUUUAAUUAUGUAUUUCUUGUAAUAUUAUCAGUCGUAUAUGUUGUAUUUGUCCUUUAUGAUAGAGAUUUCUUUAUCAUUUCAUUAUUUUUUAUGUGGUGUAGCUUGGUGGCUUGAAUUCAACACUACAAGGCAAACGUCGACUUUCUGUACUUGUUUCCUGUGUUUCCACCAUCAUUAUUGCCAUGUUUGUAUUGCUUGUUAUUGCAGGCAUUGAGUCGAAGCAGAUAUGGUUCUCAAUCUCUACUUAGUAAUUAUUAUAUAUCUAUCCAUUUCUCACCAUUGAAUGUUAAUAAUCAAUAUUUUACUAAUCUUUUGGUUGAAGAUCAUUCUGAAGGUAUUAUGUUACAUUCAAUUACCUAUUUCUUGUAAUAUUAUCAGUCAUAUAUGUUGUAUUUGUCUUUUAUGAUAGAGAUUUCUUUAUCAUUUCAUCAUUUUUUAUGUGGUGUAGCUUGGUGGCUUGAAUUCAACAUUACAAGACAAUCGUCGACUUUCUGUACUUGUUUCCUGUGUUUCCACCAUCAUUAUUGCCAUGUUUGUAUUGCUUGUUAUUGCAGGCAUUGAGUCGAAGCAGAUAUGGUUCUCAACCUCUACUUAGUAAUUAUUCUAUUUGUAUCCAUUUCUCACCAUUGAAUGUUAAUAAUCAAUAUUUUACUAAUCUUUUGGUUGAAGAUCAUUCUUAAGGUAUUAUGUUACAUUCAAUUACCCAUUUUUUGUAAUAUUAUCAGUCGUAUAUGUUGUAUUUGUCCUUUAUGAUAGAAAUUUCUUUAUCAUUUCAUUAUUUUUUAUGUGGUGUAGCUUGGUGGCUUGAAUUCAACACUACAAGGCAAAUGUCGACUUUCUGUACUUGUUUCCUAUGUUUCCACCAUCAUUAUUGCCAUGUUUGUAUUGCUUUUGUUAUUGCAGGGAUUGAGUCGAAGCAGUUAUGGUUCUCAACCUCUACUUAGUAAUUAGUCUAUUUCUAUCCAUUUUGACUUUACUAAAGUACAAGUUGGAGAUAUGAGAGGGAGAGGGCUUCAAUCCAAGAAAUGAGUGAUGAAACUUCAAUAAUAAGCUUGCUGUCUUAAAUUCAACAUUACAAGUGGGGUUGAUCGGUUCAAGAGACCGUUUGCACAUCUUGAGGAGCAUUAUGGGAACAGUGAACGAAGCACUCCAUUGCAGAGACAACAUGUCUUCUU